CGAGAGUUGAGUCUGGACAUC
rnacentral:miRNA from 1 species